AAGUAAUUAGUAAAGUUUAUUUCUAGAGCACAUUUAAACACAGUUUAAGCUGACCAAAAUGCUGUACAAAAAGCACUAAGGUGCUGUAUUAACCCUUACAGGGUUUAGAGAGCAAUUCUCAACAAAGUAAACGGAA